GACGAACGCGGGCGGCGUGCUAAUACAUGCAAGUGGGACGCAAGGGAACACACUGUGCUUGCACACCGUGUUUUCUUGAGUCGCGAACGGGUGAGUAACGCGUAGGUAACCUGCCUAUAAGCGGGGGAUAACUAUGGGAAACGAUAGCUAAUACCGCAUAAUAUUAAUUAUUGCAUGAUAAUUGAUUGAAAGAUGCAAGCGCAUCACUAGUAGAUGGACCUGCGUUGUAUUAGCUAGUUGGUAAGGUAAGAGCUUACCAAGGCGACGAUACAUAGCCGACCUGAGAGGGUGAUCGGCCACACUGGGACUGAGACACGGCCCAGACUCCUACGGGAGGCAGCAGUAGGGAAUCUUCGGCAAUGGACGAAAGUCUGACCGAGCAACGCCGCGUGAGUGAAGAAGGUUUUCGGAUCGUAAAGCUCUGUUGUAAGUCAAGAACGUGUGUGAGAGUGGAAAGUUCACACAGUGACGGAGCUACCAG
rnacentral:rRNA from 1 species